AUCCCAGUUCGGAUUGCAGGCUGNAACCCGCCUGUAUGAAGUUGGAAUCGCUAGUAAUCGCGGAUCAGCAUGCCGCGGUGAAUACGUUCCCGGGCCUUGUACACACCGCCCGUCACACCAUGAGAGUCGGGAACACCCGAAGUCCGUAGCCUAACCGCAAGGAGGGCGCGGCCGAAGGUGGGUUCGAUAAUUGGGGUGAAGUCGUAACAAGGUACC
rnacentral:rRNA from 1 species